AGAGUUUGAUCCUGGCUCAGGAUAAACGCUGGCGGCGUGCCUAAUGCAUGCAAGUCGAACGGGAGUGCUUUCGGGCAUCGACCGUGGCGGACGGGUGAGGAACACGUAGCUAACCUGCCCAGGUAUGGGGGAUAUGCGCUGGAAGCGGCGUGCAAUACCGCAUACGUUCGGGUCACGGGAGUGACCUGAGGAAAGCCGUAAGGCGUACCUGGAGGGGGCUGCGGCCGAUUAGCUAGUUGGAGUGGUAAGAGCGCCCCAAGGCGAUGAUCGGUAGCUGGUCUGAGAGGACGAUCAGCCACACGGGGACUGAGACACGGCCCCGACUCCUACGGGGGGCAGCAGCAAGGAAUUUUCCACAAUGGGCGCAAGCCUGAUGGAGCAACGCCGCGUGGGGGGAUGACGCGUUUCGGCGUGUAAACCCCUUUUCGAGGGGACGAAGGCAAUGACGGUACCCUCGGAAUAAGGCCCGGCUAACUACGUGCCAGCAGCCGCGGUAAGACGUAGGGGCCGAGCGUUGUCCGGAAUUACUGGGCGUAAAGCGCGCGCAGGCGGAUGGUCGCAUCAUCGGUGAAAGCCCCCCGCUCAACGGGGGAGGGUCCGGUGAGAUGGGCCGUCUGGAGGCAGGGAGAGGCGAGUGGAAUUCCGGGUGUAGUGGUGAAAUGCGUAGAGAUCCGGAGGAACACCAGUGGCGAAGGCGGCUCGCUGGACCUGACCUGACGCUGAGGCGCGAAGGCGUGGGGAGCGAACGGGAUUAGAUACCCUAGUAGUCC
rnacentral:rRNA from 1 species